rnacentral:rRNA from 1 species
AGUAGUCAUAUGCUUGUCUCAAAGAUUAAGCCAUGCAUGUCUCAGUGCAAGCCGUCCAGUACGGUGAAACCGCGAAAGGCUCAUUAAAUCAGUUAUGGUUCCUUAGAUAAUACCCACGUUACUUGGAUAACUGUGGUAAUUCUAGAGCUAAUACAUGCCGACGGAGUUCCGACCGACGAGCGUGGCAUUCGUGCGGCGUUUCGUCGGAAGGAACGCUUUUAUUAGAUCAAAACCGGCUGAGCGACGGUGUUUCGGCAUCGUCGCUAGUGGCCCGCGCAAAGACUUGGUGACUCUGAAUAACUUUGGGCUGAUCGCACGUCCUCGUGACGGCGACGUAUCUUUCAAAUGUCUGCCUUAUCAACUGUCGACGGUAGGUUCGACGCCUACCGUGGUGGUAACGGGUAACGGGGAAUCAGGGUUCGAUUCCGGAGAGGGAGCCUGAGAAACGGCUACCACAUCUAAGGAAGGCAGCAGGCGCGCAAAUUACCCACUCCCAGCUCGGGGAGGUAGUGACGAAAAAUAACGAUACGGGACUCAUCCGAGGCCUCGUAAUCGGAA